rnacentral:tRNA from 1 species
GGUUAAAUACUUUAAAGAGAAGAAAUGGUUUGCAACUAUUAAGUGGGGGUUCCUUUUAACCA